rnacentral:rRNA from 1 species
AUGGGUAGUUGCUUCCCAUGGGGAUCAGUGUCUUUGAUACUGUUUCUGUUGUUACAGUCCAUGCUUCACUUGUCCUCUGCAGGUUGCUUCGUGGAGGAGAGAGCUGCUCUACUGGACAUCCAGUCUUCUCUGAUAAGAGCUCGCUCGCUGGUUGCGCUUGAUUCAUGGGCGGAUGAUGGUGAUGAUUGCUGCUCAUGGGAGCGUGUGAAAUGCAACAAUAGCACACAUCGUGUGUCUCAUCUCAACCUUUCCUCUGUAUAUGUCACGACAGAAGCAGAGGGCGAUCCUUAUUUUGGGAGAACAGACGGUGGUCCUUUUUUUCAGAGAACAGAACGUGAUCCUUGGUAUUUUAACGGAACAGUGUUAUCUGCAUUCCAUGAGCUUGAGUACCUCGACCUAUCAUACAACCAUCCCUGUUUGCUAAGCUUGGAGGGGUUGGUUGGACUAUCCAAGCUUCGAUAUCUCGACCUCAGUGACACUACACGGGGAGGGGGGUUCCCAGAAUUUAUCGAACAUGUUGCUUUGCUGGAAGUCUUAGCUCUCAACUAUAACAAAAUGAACAGAAUUCCUCCAGCCGCAGUUGUUAAAAAUCUUAGGAACUUGCGACAAUUGAAUAUGUCUUGGAAUAGCUUCGACGGAAACCUCCCAGAAUCGCUGUUUUCCCUUCCUCGCCUAAAGAUCCUAGAUCUAUCAGGAAAUAACUUCGGUGGGCAUAUUCCAAUUAGUUCAUCCUCGGGACCAAUUGCACUUGAAGUGUUAGAUCUCAGCAUUAAUUUCCUCAGUGGAACUCUCCCGGUUACAGCCUUUAAAAACAUCAGGAACUUGAAUUUGCGUGACAACCAAUUCAGCGGAUCUCUUCCUUUGUCAUUAUUCGCACUUCCUCAUCUGAAGUUCAUAGAUCUGUCCUUCAACAAUUUUGAAGGACGUUUUCCUAUUAAUUUGACUUCAGAACCAGUUCCACUUGAAGUCUUAAAGCUUGACUCUAAUUACAUGAGUGGAGCUCUUCCGAGUGAACGAGCAUUUCAAAAUCUCCAGAACCUACGAGAGUUGUCUUUGAGUUUCAACCAAUUCAGCGGAAACAUUCCAACAUUCUUGUUUUUGCUUCCACAUAUUGAACGGUUGGAUCUCUCAUCAAACUUAUUCAGAGGACCAAUUCCGAUAAAUCCGUCUUCGAAUCUUUCGUUGUCACUGAAGAGUCUUCGGUUCUACCAAAACAAUUUGACUGGUAGGAUUUCUUUCAUUUGGCUUGGAAACCUCAGAAAACUAGAAGAGAUAGACCUUUCAGGCAACGCUAACCUAGCUGUUGACGUUAAUAUUCCUGGAUGGACACCACCAUUCCAAUUGAAACAGUUAGCGCUUUCUGGUUGUGACCUUGAUAAGAACAUUAUUGCGGAACCACAUUUUUUACGCACACAGCGUCGUUUAGAGGUGCUUCAUUUGUCCGACAAUAACUUGUCAGGCAGCAUGCCAAAUUGGUUGUUCACAGAGGAAGCAACACUACAUGAACUACAUCUGGGAAAUAACUCGCUAACUGGAUCAAUAGACCCAAUAUGGCAUACACAACCGUUUCUGCAGAGUAUCGACAUACACAUGAACCAUGUCACAGGACAGCUGCCGGCCAACAUCAGCUCACUAUUUCCAAGAUUGCUUGUUCUCGAUAUUUCUAAUAACAACAUUGUUGGGCACAUACCAACGUCAUUGUGCGAGAUCGACUUCAUGGAAAUUUUAGACCUAUCAAACAACAAGCUUUCUGGGGAAGUUCCAGCUUGUGUGUUCACUAAUUAUUCCUUGCUAAUGACGUUGAAGCUCUCAAACAACAAGCUUGGUGGUCAGGUUUUUGGUGGGUUAAACAGUCUGUCCAACAAUAUAAAGGAAUUGUACCUGGAUAACAACAAAUUCGACGGUACAAUACCUCAUAAUCUGUCAGGAGGAUGUCUAAAGUUCAUGAAUUUGCAUGAUAACGAGCUCUCUGGCAAACUUGAUACUUCAUUUUGGAAACUGCCUUCUUUGGUAAUUCUGAAUCUUUCUGGCAACCGCAUGACCGGCAAAAUUGAUCCACAUAUUUGUGGCUUCACUCAAAUUGGAUUUCUAGAUCUAUCGAGAAAUAAGCUUACAGGGUCUGUACCAAACUGUAGCUUCGUAGCACUGAAUUUUCUUAAUCUGUCUGGGAACUCCUUAACUGGUGAUAUCUCUUUCAACGCACCGAGCCUGAUUGCUUUGGAUAUCAGAAACAAUCAGUUCACAGGCAACCUACACUGGGUACGAUAUCUUGAUAACAUUAGGAUACUUUCCUUGCGAAGAAAUAAAUUUGAAGGGCAGAUUACUCCAAACCUGUGCAAACUCUUGUACUUGAGAGUAAUUGAUUUGUCAUAUAACAAGCUUUCAGGGUCGUUACCAGCAUGCAUUGGUAAUAUCUCUUCCAAUGGUGACACAUAUGAUCAAAUGUUUGACUCUGCCAAUUGGACAAAGGACCCCUACAAUUCUUUCCAUGGCUUCGAAUUCACCUUCUCUACCAAAGGGAAUCCCUACACAUACGGUCGCGGUUUCUUAGUUUCAAUGUCUGGCAUCGACCUAUCUGCAAACAUGUUGGGCGGAGAAAUUCCCUGGGAGCUAGGGAAUCUGAGGCAUAUCAAAUCCCUUAAUCUGUCCAACAAUUUCUUCGUUGGCUCUAUCCCGACUACCUUUGGCGGCAUGGAGGAGAUAGAAAGCUUGGACCUCUCCCACAAUAAGUUGAGUGGACCAAUACCUUUGCAGUUAACCCAGUUAUCUUCUUUGGGUGUGUUCUCUGUGGCAUACAACAACUUGUCAGGAUGCAUACCAAACUCUGGUCAGCUUGGCUCAUUCGGCAUGGACAGCUACCUAGCUAACACCAACCUUCACCAGAUUACACAGGGAAACAUGUGUGUUGCGCCCGAUCCUGUGGCACAUGAAGAUGUGGGAGAGACGCCUAUUGACCCAGCCCUGUAUGCUGUGAUGGCUGCUUCAUUCGUAUUGGGAUUUUGGGCCAUUGUUGCUUUCUCAUUUUGCCAUCCGUACGGGAGGUCUGUAAUUCUCAAGCUGUACUCUGUCCCAAGGAAAAAUUGCUAG